rnacentral:rRNA from 1 species
UACAGAGGGUGCGAGCGUUGUCCGGAAUCACUGGGCGUAAAGGGCGCGUAGGUGGCGUCGCAAGUCGAUGGUGAAAGCUCGGCGCUCAACGCCGAGUCGGCCCUUGAUACUGCGAGGCUGGGAGCACUGUAGAGGCAGAUGGAAUUCCGGGGUGUAGCGGUGGAAUGCGUAGAGAUCCGGAAGAACACCGGUGGCGAAGGCGGUCUGCUGGGCAGUUGCUGACACUGAGGCGCGACAGCGUGGGGGAGCAAACAGG